rnacentral:rRNA from 1 species
UGGGGAAUUUUGGACAAUGGGGGCAACCCUGAUCCAGCCAUGCCGCGUGAGUGAAGAAGGCCUUCGGGUUGUAAAGCUCUUUCGGUGGGGAAGAAAUUGCCUGGGAUAAUACCUCAGGUAGAUGACGGUACCCGCAUAAGAAGCACCGGCUAACUACGUGCCAGCAGCCGCGGUAAUACGUAGGGUGCGAGCGUUAAUCGGAAUUACUGGGCGUAAAGCGUGCGCAGGCGGUUGUAUAAGUCAGAUGUGAAAUCCCCGGGCUCAACCUGGGAACUGCAUUUGAGACUGUACGGCUAGAGUGUGGCAGAGGGGGGUAGAAUUCGACGUGUAGCAGUGAAAUGCGUAGAGAUGUGGAGGAAUACCGAUGGCGAAGGCAGCCCCCUGGGCCAAUACUGACGCUCAUGCACGAAAGCGUGGGGAGCAAACA